GACGAACGCUGGCGGCGUGCUUAACACAUGCAAGUCGAACGGAAAGGCCCUGCUUUUGUGGGGUGCUCGAGUGGCGAACGGGUGAGUAACACGUGAGUAACCUGCCCUUGACUUUGGGAUAACUUCAGGAAACUGGGGCUAAUACCGGAUAGGAGCUCCUGCUGCAUGGUGGGGGUUGGAAAGUUUCGGCGGUUGGGGAUGGACUCGCGGCUUAUCAGCUUGUUGGUGGGGUAGUGGCUUACCAAGGCUUUGACGGGUAGCCGGCCUGAGAGGGUGACCGGCCACAUUGGGACUGAGAGACGGACCAGAGUCCUAUGGGAGGCAGCAGUGGGGAAUAUUGCACAAUGGGCGGAAGCCUGAUGCAGCAACGCCGCGUGCGGGAUGACGGCCUUCGGGUUGUAAACCGCUUUCGCCUGUGACGAAGCGUGAGUGACGGUAAUGGGUAAAGAAGCACCGGCUAACUACGUG
rnacentral:rRNA from 1 species